rnacentral:rRNA from 1 species
GUUACUAGUAAUCGCAGAUCAGAAUGCUGCGGUGAAUGCGUUCCCGGGUCUUGUACACACCGCCCGUCACACCACGGGAGUUGGGGACGCCCGAAGCCGAUUAUCUAACCUUUUGGAAGAAGUCGUCGAAGGUGGAAUCAAUAACUGGGGUGAAGUCGUAACAAGGUAGCCGUAUCGGAAGGUGCGGCUGGAUCACCUCCUUUCUAAGGAGA